rnacentral:ncRNA from 1 species
GGCAGCCAUGCGCCGGAACAACCCAGAGCACUCGAAAGACUGCAGGCGAGAGAUCGCAAUUAUGGGCCGGGGGGCUGCCGCUUU